rnacentral:rRNA from 1 species
AACAAACGCUGGCGGCGUGCCUAACACAUGCAAGUCGUACGAGAAAGGGUCCUUCGGGGCCUGAGUAAAGUGGCGCACGGGUGAGUAACGCGUGGAUAAUCUGCCCUUCAGUUGGGAAUAACUCAUCGAAAGGUGGGCUAAUACCGAAUAAUGCUGUGAGACCUCGGUUGAUCAGCCAAAGAGAGCCUCUGCUUGCAAGCCCUCGCUGAAGGAUGAGUCCGCGUACCAUUAGCUAGUUGGUAGGGUAAUGGCCUACCAAGGCGACGAUGGUUUGCUGGUCUGAGAGGAUGAUCAGCCACACUGGAACUGAGACACGGUCCAGACUCCUACGGGAAGCAGCAGUGGGGAAUCUUGCGCAAUGGGAGCAACCCUGACGCAGCAACGCCGCGUGAGUGAGGAAGGUCUUCGGAUCGUAAAGCUCUGUCGGAUGGAAAGAACCGCAUAGGGGUAAACAGCCCCUGUGUCUGACGGUACCAUCAAAGGAAGCACCGGCUAACUCCGUGCCAGCCGCCGCGGUAACAC